rnacentral:rRNA from 1 species
AGCAGUCGCCACGGGAAUACGUAGGGUGCAAGCGUUAAUCGGAAUUACUGGGCGUAAAGCGUGCGCAGGCGGUUUUGUAAGACAGAGGUGAAAUCCCCGGGCUCAACCUGGGAACUGCCUUUGUGACUGCAAGGCUAGAGUACGGCAGAGGGGGAUGGAAUUCCGCGUGUAGCAGUGAAAUGCGUAGAUAUGCGGAGGAACACCGAUGGCGAAGGCAAUCCCCUGGGCCUGUACUGACGCUCAUGCACGAAAGCGUGGGGAGCAAACAGGAUUAGAUACCCCCGUAGUCCCUGUCUCUUAUAC